rnacentral:rRNA from 1 species
CUUUGUGGCCAUACCGGCUUGUCAAAGCCAGAGCUCCUCAGGUCUCAGAAGCUGAGCAGGGCUGGGCCUGGUUUGUACUUAGAUGGAAGACGGGUUGGAAUACCAGGUGCCACAGUGA